UACGGAGGGUGCAAGCGUUGUCCGGAAUCAUUGGGCGUAAAGCGUUCGUAGGCGGUAUGUCAAGUCUGAUGUUAAAGCCCGGGGCUCAACUCCGGUUCGGCAUUGGAUACUGGCAAACUAGAAUGUGGUAGAGGUAAAGGGAAUUCCAGGUGUAGGAGUGAAAUCCGUAGAUAUCUGGAGGAACAUCAGUGGCGAAGGCGGCCACCUGGACCGGUAUUGACGCUGAGGCGCGAAAGCGUGGGGAGCAAACAGG
rnacentral:rRNA from 1 species